rnacentral:rRNA from 1 species
AUGGAGAAGGUCAAGAAGCGGUUUCAUAAGAUGGCAGCAAUGCUUUCUUGCCAUGGUGCUCAGUCCAGUGACGUGUAUGCACCUGGUACCCGCGCCAGAGCUAAUAGACGGCGUUAUAUCCAGAACGAUGAGGACAUGGAGGAGGAGGUCCAUGAAGAGGAGCCAUCACAUCAAGAGGAGCCAACACAAGAUGAGGAGCAUGAGUAUGAUGCAACACAUUAA